UACAGAGGUCCCAAGCGUUGUUCGGAAUUACUGGGCGUAAAGGGCGCGUAGGCGGCCUUCUAAGUCGAACGUGAAAUCCCCGGGCUCAACCCGGGAACUGCGUCCGAUACUGGGAGGCUUGAAUCCGGGAGAGGGAUGUGGAAUUCCAGGUGUAGCGGUGAAAUGCGUAGAUAUCUGGAGGAACACCGGUGGCGAAGGCGGCAUCCUGGACCGGUAUUGACGCUGAGGCGCGGAAAGCCAGGGGAGCAA
rnacentral:rRNA from 1 species